UACGAAGGGGGCUAGCGUUGCUCGGAAUGACUGGGCGUAAAGCGUGCGUAGGCGGUUCGUUAAGUGCGUCGUGAAAGCCCCGGGCUCAACCUGGGAAUGGCGAUGGAAACUGGCGGGCUGGAGUAUGGCAGAGGGGGGUGGAAUUCCGCGUGUAGCAGUGAAAUGCGUAGAGAUGUGGAGGAACACCGAUGGCGAAGGCAGCCCCCUGGGCUAACACUGACGCUCAUGCACGAAAGCGUGGGGAGCAAACAGG
rnacentral:rRNA from 1 species